UCUUGCGCAAUGGGCGAAAGCCUGACGCAGCCAUGCCGCGUGAAUGAUGAAGGUCCUAGGAUUGUAAAGUUCUUUCGCUCGUGACGAUGAUGACGGUAACGAGAGAAGAAGCCCCGGCUAACUUCGUGCCAGCAGCCGCGGUAAUACGAAGGGGGCUAGCGUUGUUCGGAAUUACUGGGCGUAAAGCGCGCGUAGGCGGUUUUGCAAGCCAGAGGUGAAAUGCCUGAGCUCAACUUAGGAAUUGCCUUUGGGACUGCGAGGCUUUGAGGACGAGAGAGGUGAGUGGAAUUCCCAGUGUAGAGGUGAAAUUCGUAGAUAUUGGGAAGAACACCGGUGGCGAAGGCGGCUCACGGCUCGUUCUGACGCUGAGCGCGAAG
rnacentral:rRNA from 1 species